UACGGAGGGUGCGAGCGUUGUCCGGAAUCACUGGGCGUAAAGGGCGCGUAGGCGGCCUGAUAAGUAGGGGGGUGAAAUCCUGCGGCUUAACCGCAGGGCUGCCUUCUAAACUGUCAGGCUAGAGCACAGUAGAGGCAGGUGGAAUUCACGGUGUAGCAGUGAAAUGCGUAGAUAUCGUGAGGAAGACCAGUGGCGAAGGCGGGGUCUCUGGACAGUUCCUGACACUGAGGCACGAAGGCCAGGGGGAGCAAAUGGG
rnacentral:rRNA from 1 species